rnacentral:pre_miRNA from 1 species
CUUAUACUCCCUCCGUCCGGAAAUACUUGUCAUCAAAAUGGAUAAAAAGAGAUGUAUCUAGACAUAUUUUAGUUCUAGAUACAUCCAUUUUUAUUCAUUUUGAUGAAAAGUAUUUUCGGACGGAGGGAGUAUUAG